rnacentral:rRNA from 1 species
AUUGAACGCUGGCGGCAUGCCUUACACAUGCAAGUCGAACGGCAGCACGGGAGCAAUCCUGGUGGCGAGUGGCGAACGGGUGAGUAAUAUAUCGGAACGUGCCCAGUCGUGGGGAUAACGUAGCGAAAGCUACGCUAAUACCGCAUACGAUCUAUGGAUGAAAGCGGGGGAUCGCAAGACCUCGCGCGAUUGGAGCGGCCGAUAUCAGAUUAGGUAGUUGGUGAGGUAAAGGGCUCACCAAGCGACGAUCUGUAGCUGGUCUGAGAGGAGACCAGCCACACUGGG